rnacentral:snoRNA from 2 species
AAGAUCAUGCUUUACAGGAUCAGUUCUGUAGGUAUUGAUCUCAUUCUCCUUCCCUAACACGGGAGUUGUUGUAACCACCAUGAAGAGAGAUGGCUCUCUUCCCUGAGCGUGAGAACGAUACGAGGUCUCGAUUUUGUUCAAGAUCUCUGUCAUCGAUGAUCGUUCACUCUUUGUAUUCAGUGCGGAGAGGAUGGGAGGUAGGGCUUUCUGAGUGGU